rnacentral:rRNA from 2 species
UCUGGGAAACUGCCUGAUGGAGGGGGAUAACUACUGGAAACGGUAGCUAAUACCGCAUAAUGUCGCAAGACCAAAGUGGGGGACCUUCGGGCCUCAUGCCAUCAGAUGUGCCCAGAUGGGAUUAGCUAGUAGGUGGGGUAACGGCUCACCUAGGCGACGAUCCCUAGCUGGUCUGAGAGGAUGACCAGCCACACUGGAACUGAGACACGGUCCAGACUCCUACGGGAGGCAGCAGUGGGGAAUAUUGCACAAUGGGCGCAAGCCUGAUGCAGCCAUGCCGCGUGUGUGAAGAAGGCCUUCGGGUUGUAAAGCACUUUCAGCGGGGAGGAAGGCGAUAAGGUUAAUAACCUUGUUGAUUGACGUUACCCGCAGAAGAAGCACCGGCUAACUCCGUGCCAGCAGCCGCGGUAAUACGGAGGGUGCAAGCGUUAAUCGGAAUUACUGGGCGUAAAGCGCACGCAGGCGGUCUGUCAAGUCGGAUGUGAAAUCCCCGGGCUCAACCUGGGAACUGCAUUCGAAACUGGCAGGCUAGAGUCUUGUAGAGGGGGGUAGAAUUCCAGGUGUAGCGGUGAAAUGCGUAGAGAUCUGGAGGAAUACCGGUGGCGAAGGCGGCCCCCUGGACAAAGACUGACGCUCAGGUGCGAAAGCGUGGGGAGCAAACAGGAUUAGAUACCCUGGUAGUCCACGCCGUAAACGAUGUCGAUUUGGAGGUUGUGCCCUUGAGGCGUGGCUUCCGGAGCUAACGCGUUAAAUCGACCGCCUGGGGAGUACGGCCGCAAGGUUAAAACUCAAAUGAAUUGACGGGGGCCCGCACAAGCGGUGGAGCAUGUGGUUUAAUUCGAUGCAACGCGAAGAACCUUACCUGGUCUUGACAUCCACAGAACUUAGCAGAGAUGCUUUGGUGCCUUCGGGAACUGUGAGACAGGUGCUGCAUGGCUGUCGUCAGCUCGUGUUGUGAAAUGUUGGGUUAAGUCCCGCAACGAGCGCAACCCUUAUCCUUUGUUGCCAGCGGUUAGGCCGGGAACUCAAAGGAGACUGCCAGUGAUAAACUGGGAGGAAGGGUGGGGGGA